rnacentral:hammerhead_ribozyme from 1 species
AUCCAGCUGACGAAUCCCAAAUAGGACGAAACUCGUGUCAAACUGGAU